AGAAUCAACGCUGGCGGCGUGCCUCAGACAUGCAAGUCGAACGCGAAAGUCCCCUUCGGGGACAAGUAGGGUGGCGCACGGGUGAGUAACACGUAGGUAAUCUACCUUCGGAUGGGGAAUAACAACCGGAAACGGUUGCUAAUACCGCAUAAUGCAGCGGCACCUAAUGGUGACAGUUGUUAAAGCGGGGGAUCGAAAGACCUCGCGUCUGAAGAGGAGCCUGCGGCGGAUUAGCUAGUUGGUAGGUAACGGCCUACCAAGGCGACGAUCCGUA
rnacentral:rRNA from 1 species